rnacentral:lncRNA from 1 species
AUAAAUGACCAAUUAAUUGAUGUAAUUCAGUGAAGAUAGUUGAAGAAACUAGUCUGAAUUUGUGUUAUAUUUACUUACCUAAAAUGUGUAUUGAAAUUACUUUGAUUCUUAAUUUUCUUCCAUUUACGAAAAUAUGGGUAAACGCGAAGUAUAUUGACUUCAUCAAAUAGCUGACUUCUCAUAUAUUUACUACCACAUAUGGAAUUAGAAAAAAAAUAUAAGUUCCACGUUAAAAUUUGUGAUCCAACACCUGAAACAGGUAUGAGAUUCUCACAAAUAUUCCUUCUUUCUCCUUUUUUAUUCAUGCCCAAGUGCGAAAGAUCAUAAGGGAUAAAUUCGUGAGAUUUAUGUGUGUCCAAUGUAGCAUUUUGUAAAUAUAUUACCCAACUCAAUUUAGUUCCUUCUAAGCAAUUAAUUGAUUUCCUAAAAGCAGAGUUCCAAAAUGUGCACUUCUAAAUUCAAACAAAUCAAAUGAUAACAUUGAUAAGUCUUCAGUCUUGUAUCUCAUGAUUAUUGAUUCCUUUAAUAGUUUUUUAUUUUAUUUUUGGGGUCAAUUGUUUUUUUGAUAAUUUGAUAUUGUGUUGUUGACAAAAGAACAAAAAAAAAAAAAAAAUGGAAAAAUCACAAUUAACAAAUAUAAAUAAACAGAGUUUUAACGAAACACUUUUGGUACUGUUUAUUUUUAACGAAAAGGACUUUACUCUAAAAAGUCACUCCUUGUACUAUUCACUUGCAACACAUUUUUGUUCUUUUGAUUAAAACUCAAAGUUUUCAAACUAUUUUCAUUAAUUUUCUUAUAAAUAAACGUAACGAACAAAUAUAUAUAUAGUCAAGGUUAGAAUUUUCGCAUGGGCACUGUCCAUCACUGAUCAUGCAGCAUGCUGACGGCUGAAAUGUAUGGAGGACGAUGGCGGUAAGCAGUGUGAGGUGAUGACUGUCGCAAUUGUGCACUGCCGUGUGACCGCCGGUAGGUCAGCCGCGGCGUGAGCAGUCUGCACGUGAGACCUGUGCGUAAAUUGCACAGAUGAUUAUGACUGGUUAUUCGCAUCCGUGGGUGCGAGUCCUUUUUAGGUUUUCUCGUGUUUUUUGCUCCACUUGUGUAUUUGGUGGACUUUCUCUUUUAUUUUGAAAACGAGUGUUAACAUUAAACAUGUGUAUAUGCAGUCCUUUCUCUAAAUUAUUUUAAUUUUUGAAUAUUGUAGAAGAAACACCUCAAUUUGCAGUCGCUUUUUAAUUCUUAUGACAUUCUCUGAUUUUUACACGACAUAUUUUCAUGUAAAUAGAAUGACAUAAACAAUGCCUGAAAAAUUGAAUUGAGAAAACAUAAAUUGAAAUAAUCUCUAAGUCACAAACAUACAUUGAAUUCCGUAAUCAAUCAAAAUUAAAAAUAACAAACAUAAAACAAUUUUUUUUUUUUUUUUGUAACAUAAGGGGACAGGUCACCCCAAAACUAACUCCAUAAAUUAUUAUAAGGCUAGCUAUGUCCUUGGAACUCAAUUUUAAUCUUAUUUUGUUCACUGGAAUUCAAAAGUCGUCACUUUACUCCCUGAAACUUAAAGUUCGCUCCACUUUGCCCUUGAAACUCGAUUUUGAUCCCAUUUUUGUCCUCUAAAACUCGAAAGUCGUCUCUAUAAAACUCUAAAUUUGCUCUAUAUUGCCUUAAAUUUAUUAAUUUCUUAUGUGGUUAAUUAAUUUGCUCUAUAUUGCCUUAAAUCUGUUAAAUUUUUUAUGUAGUUUUAAUUUGGGUAUGGUAGACUAAACAAUUUAUUUUUUAUUUGUUUCAUCUCUUAAAUUUCUUUAAACUUAAUAGUCUUUGAUUCUUGAAUAUUAACGCAUCAUGGAGAUUUAUAAUCAAAUUUAUUGCACAUAUGGCAUAGUCUUAUAGGGUGUUAGGUCGCACAUGUAGAAUUAUCAGAUAGACUGGCGGAAGCUCCACCUCCAACAACACCGAUAUUGUCCCCAACUUGGUAAUUACCACGUGCACAGUCUUUCAGGUGUGAGGUUUUAUCACAAAGGCUCGGUAUUAGUUGGAGCACAGUUAAGAUAUUUAAACUCUUCUUUUCUCAGAGAUACGAUCGAUGUAGGAUAUUUCAACACGCCCUCUCACGUAGGACCCAAUUUGUGGGUCACACAGGGGAGAUCCACACAUCUACAACCACGUGGAGCCAAGGGACCCACCAUCAUCGUGCGAGCCAAGGGGACCCACCCAUCACGUGGCAGUACAUCUUAAAUGUUAGGUAGACAGGUCGAGGGCCCACUUCAACAACAUUGAUAUUGUCCCCACUUGGCCACCUGCUCAAUCCGUCAGGUGUGAGGUUUUAUCACAAAAGGCCUUGGUGUAAGUUAGAGUGGGGUAAUUCUAUUUAAAGAGCUUGUUCUUAAGCCUUCUGGCUGAUGUGGGACAGAGGAAUUCUAAGACUCCCCCGCAUGUGAGACCCCAUUUUAUGGAUCACAAGCGCAGUUCCACACAUCAACAACCACGUGGGGCCAAGCCAGGGCUCACCCGUUCGUACUAGGCCAAUGGGGACCCACCCAUUCACGUGGCAUCUCUUGGCUUACGUGGAGCCAAGUCGGGGCUCACCCAUUUGUGCGGGGUCAAAGGGGACCCACCCGUUCAUGUGGAUGUAUAAGCUUGUCCCCUGGCUCUGAUACCAUCUUAAAUUUCAGGUAGACGGGCCGAGGGCCCAUUCCAACAACAUCAAUAUUGUCCUUACUUGGCCACCUGCUCAAUCCGUCAGGUGUGGGGUUUUAUCACAAAAGGCCUCGGUGUUAGUUAGAGUGGGGUAAUUCUAUUUAAAGAGCUUGUUUUCAAGCCUUCUGCCCGAUGUGGGAUAGAGGAAUUCUAACAAUACGAGCCCACUAUCUGACUCUAAUACCAUGUCAAAAUAUCUGAGAGACGGGCCAAAAGUCUACUUUCAACGAUACCAACCCAACUUGUUAAUUAUCACCUGCACAAUCCGUCAAGUGUGGGGUUUAUCACAAAAGGCUUGGGUAUUAGUUAGAGUAGGGUUAUGAUAUUUAAAUAUCUUCUUUUCUCAGAGAUAUGGGUAAUGUGGGAUAUUUUAAUACACAUAUGUUUUAGGAGGCAACCGAUAAGUUUCAGGGAGAAAAGAGAGUCCACAAGUCAAGGUGGAACGAAUUUUGAAUUUCAAUAAGUAAAGUGGUGACUUUUGAGUUCUUGAAGUAAAAUGAGAUCCAAAUGAAGUUCUAGGAGGAGUAGUUAAAAAUAAGUCUUAUUAUAAACAGUUCGAGUCCUAGAGUUUCCGAUCGUAUCAUCAAAUAAAUGAGUGUCAAUCUAUUCAUGCCCAAAUGCAAAAGAUCAUAAUGGAUAAAUUCUUGAGAUUUAUAUGAGUCCAAUGUAAUAUGUUGUAAAUAAAUUACCCAACUCAAUUUAAUUCCUUCUAUGGAUUUCCUAAAAACAGAGUUCCAAAAUGUGAAGUUUUCUAAAUUUGAACAAAUCGGAUGAAUAACAUUGAUAAGUUUUCAGUCUUGCAUCUCAUGAUUAUUGAUUGCUUUGAUAGGUUUUUUUUUUUUUUUUUUUGGGGGGGGUCAGUAAUUCCUCUGAUAAUUUGAUGUUGUGUUG